UACGGAGGGUGCGAGCGUUGUCCGGAAUCACUGGGCGUAAAGGGCGCGUAGGCGGCGCGGAUAGUCGGCGGUGAAAGCCCGGAGCUCAACUCCGGGUCGGCCGUCGAUACUUCCGGGCUUGAGCACUGUAGAGGCAGAGGGAAUUCCUGGUGUAGCGGUGAAAUGCGCAGAUAUCAGGAAGAACACCCGUGGCUAAGGCGGCUCUCUAGUACGGUACUGACGCUGAGACGCGAAAGCGUGGGGAGCGAACAG
rnacentral:rRNA from 1 species